rnacentral:rRNA from 1 species
AGAGUUUGAUCCUGGCUCAGGACGAACGCUGGCGGCGUGCUUAACACAUGCAAGUCGAACGAUGAACCAGGAGCUUGCUCUUGGGGAUUAGUGGCGAACGGGUGAGUAACACGUGAGUAACCUGCCCUUGACUCUGGGAUAAGCGUUGGAAACGACGUCUAAUACCGGAUACGAGCUUCCACCGCAUGGUGAGUUGCUGGAAAGAAUUUUGGUCAAGGAUGGACUCGCGGCCUAUCAGCUUGUUGGUGAGGUAACGGCUCACCAAGGCGACGACGGGUAGCCGGCCUGAGAGGGUGACCGGCCACACUGGGACUGAGACACGGCCCAGACUCCUACGGGAGGCAGCAGUGGGGAAUAUUGCACAAUGGGCGAAAGCCUGAUGCAGCAACGCCGCGUGAGGGACGACGGCCUUCGGGUUGUAAACCUCUUUUAGCAGGGAAGAAGCGAAAGUGACGGUACCUGCAG